rnacentral:lncRNA from 1 species
GAAGAAACAACAGGAACACAUAUAGCUGGAAUGCAGAUGGGAUCUGUGCUACUUACGCUAGCCAUGGGAUGAUUAGAACAAGAUAAGAGACAUGAGGAAGACUUCUUCAAGGAGGUGCUCAAGCCAUGUUUUGGAAAAGAGAACUCAAGGUCUGGCAGGGAGAAAGGAGCAAGGUCCUCUUCUCCCUGAAGCCUGUCACAGUUCCUGUGCAGAGAGAGAGGGCACUGCAGCACCCAGGCGCUGACUGCCUUUUGUCAGUCUCAUUUGCAGGCCCCCAGCUGGAGAACCCAGGAGGAAGAGGAAAAAAGUUUUUUCCUCCUCUACACUCCCCAUGCAUGACUAAAGAGUAGGAGGAGUCAGCAAGGCAGACAUAUAUAGUACCCAGGAGGUGGACAAACAACUGCCUUGGUGGAAACUCUGUCCUUUCUGGACUUAUCCUGGUGCCACUGAGACUGUGCAGGUCCCACACUUACGGGGAAAGCAUCACCCGAAAGUGAGAACGCCUAGAGGCAGGAAUCAUGGAGGUUUCCUUAACUGUCUGUCUGCAACAGCAGGUGCUAGAGAUGACACUGCAGAGUAGAGAACAAAGGAAUCUUAGUAAUUGUUCAAUCCAAUCUCCACACUUUAAAGAUGAAGAAACUGGUAUUGAGAAAAAUACACAGCUUAUCCAAGGUUGCACUGCCGGUUGGUAGCUGAGAUGAAUUUAGAACCCACAUCUGAUGACUACACCAUAUUGCUCCCAGUUUCCCUGUCUGUUCCACAUGUAAAAGUCUGACUCUUCACUUCUCCUUUGAGUAUAUAGACU